AGCGAACGCUGGCGGCAGGCUUAACACAUGCAAGUCGAGCGGGCAUAGCAAUAUGUCAGCGGCAGACGGGUGAGUAACGCGUGGGAACGUACCUUUAGGUUCGGAACAACUGAGGGAAACUUCAGCUAAUACCGGAUAAGCCCUUACGGGGAAAGAUUUAUCGCCGAAAGAUCGGCCCGCGUCUGAUUAGCUAGUUGGUGAGGUAAUGGCUCACCAAGGCGACGAUCAGUAGCUGGUCUGAGAGGAUGAUCAGCCACAUUGGGACUGAGACACGGCCCAAACUCCUACGGGAGGCAGCAGUGGGGAAUAUUGGACAAUGGGCGCAAGCCUGAUCCAGCCAUGCCGCGUGAGUGAUGAAGGCCCUAGGGUUGUAAAGCUCUUUUGUGCGGGAAGAUAAUGACGGUACCGCAAGAAUAAGCCCCGGCUAACUUCGUG
rnacentral:rRNA from 1 species